rnacentral:tRNA from 1 species
AAAUAAGAAACAAUAAAUUGUAUUUAGUUUCGACCUAACCCCUGGCCUUCGGCCCUUAUUUA